UUGAGGAGUGUAACCAGCAACCUCAGCUCUGAAAAGAACCCUAGACUUGAUUCCACCAAUGGGUGUUCAUGCUGUUGGAUGGCAAGUGACAACCCCUCUUUGCAUCCUGCAGUGUUUCACCUUUCUAAUAUUUCUGUUUGCUCCCAGUGGCUUGAACCCCUACAAGUGCACCUGGCAUUGGUUACCAAUCUGCAGAUUCAUAACAUCUCAUGAAAAGGAUGCGUGUUGGACAACCAGAUAAGGUAUUACAGAGAAUAUGAAUAAUCUGGAGGUUCUGCUGAUGCAUGUAAAUUAUGGAAUUAUGGUUUCAAUUCUAGAUUAUUUGAGAAUGGCACCUCUAUAUGCUCAUUGGGCAAUGAUCAGAAAGUUGGAGAUCAUAGAAAUACUGAGAACGCUGUAUCUUGUUUACAUUUAUGGGCACUUUUGAAAAGAAAUUAUUUU
rnacentral:misc_RNA from 1 species